GGAGAAACUGAAGCCAAAGUACUUGGAGGAACUCCCUGAAAAGCUAAAGCUCUACUCAGAGUUUCUGGGGAAGCGGCCAUGGUUUGCAGGAAACAAGAUCACUUUUGUAGAUUUUCUCGUCUAUGAUGUCCUUGACCUCCACCGUAUAUUUGAGCCCAAGUGCUUGGACGCCUUCCCAAAUCUGAAGGACUUCAUCUCCCGCUUUGAGGACUUGGAGAAGAUCUCUGCCUACAUGAAGUCCAGCCGCUUCCUCCCAAGACCUGUGUUCACAAAGAUGGCUGUCUGGGGCAACAAGUAGGGCCUUGAAGGCCAGGAGGUGGGAGUGAGGAGCCCAUACUCAGCCUGCUGCCCAGGCUGUGCAGCCCAGCUGGACUCUGCACCCCAGCACCUGCCUCCUCUUUCUUUUCUCCUGUUUCUUCCCAUCUUCCCAUCUUUACCCCCAAGACUUCAUUGCCCCUCUUCACUUCCCCUAAACCCCUGUCCUAUGCAGGCCCUUUGAAGCCUCAGCUACCCACUAUCCUUCAUGAACAUCCCCUCCCAUCAUUACCCUUCCCUGCACUUUAGUAAGGCCAGCCUGACCGUCCUUCCUGUUAGUGGUUGUGUCUGCUUUGAAGGGCCUGCCUGGCCCCUCGCCUGUGGAGCUCAGCCCCGAGCUGUCCCCGUGUUGCAUGAAGGAGCAACAUUGACUGGUUUACAGGCCCUGCUCCUGCAGCGUGGUCCCUGC
rnacentral:lncRNA from 1 species